rnacentral:rRNA from 1 species
GAUGAACGCUGACAGAAUGCUUAACACAUGCAAGUCUACUUGAACUUCGGUUUGGGUGGCGGACGGGUGAGUAACGCGUAAAGAACUUGCCUUACAGUUAGGGACAACAUUUGGAAACGAAUGCUAAUACCUGAUAUUAUGAUUUUAGGGCAUCCUAAGAUUAUGAAAGCUAUAUGCGCUGUGAGAGAGCUUUGCGUCCCAUUAGCUAGUUGGAGAGGUAACAGCUCACCAAGGCGAUGAUGGGUAGCCGGCCUGAGAGGGUGAACGGCCACAAGGGGACUGAGACACGGCCCUUACUCCUACGGGAGGCAGCAGUGGGGAAUAUUGGACAAUGGACCAAAAGUCUGAUCCAGCAAUUCUGUGUGCACGAUGACGUUUUUCGGAAUGUAAAGUGCUUUCAGUUGGGAAGAAAAAAAUGACGGUACCAACAGAAGAAGUGACGGCUAAAUACGUGCCAGCAGCCGCGGUAAUACGUAUGUCACAAGCGUUAUCCGGAUUUAUUGGGCGUAAAGCGCGUCUAGGUGGUUAUGUAAGUCUGAUGUGAAAAUGCAGGGCUCAACUCUGUAUUGCGUUGGAAACUGCAUGACUAGAGUACUGGAGAGGUAAGCGGAACUACAAGUGUAGAGGUGAAAUUCGUAGAUAUUUGUAGGAAUGCCGAUGGGGAAGCCAGCUUACUGGACAGAUACUGACGCUAAAGCGCGAAAGCGUGGGUAGCAAACAGG